rnacentral:rRNA from 1 species
CCCCUAGUAACGGCGAGUGAAGCGGGAUGAGCUCAAAUUUAAAAUCUGGCUGGUUUACUAGUCCGAAUUGUAGUUUAAAGAAGCGUUUUCGGUGGCAGCCUGGGUAUAAAUCCUUUGGAACAGGGUAUCAUAGAGGGUGAGAAUCCCGUCUUUGACUCAGUGCAUGCUACUAUGUGAUACGUUUUCAAAGAGUCGAGUUGUUUGGGAAUGCAGCUCAAAAUGGGUGGUAAAUUUCAUCUAAAGCUAAAUAUUGGCGAGAGACCGAUAGCGAACAAGUACCGUGAGGGAAAGAUGAAAAGAACUUUGAAAAGAGAGUUAAACAGUGCGUGAAAUUGUUGAAAGGGAAACGCUUGACACCAGUCAUGCGAGCGGAAAAUCAGUCUUUUGCAGUGGGGAGUUGUGUGGGUUCGGACCGCAAGGCCGGCCUGCGCUGCAUCUCUGCUGUAAGUGAUGCACUUUUUCGUUUGCAGGCCAACAUCAGUUUCUUCUGCUGGACAAAACUCUUGAGAAGGUGGCAGCUUAGGCUGUGUUAUAGCUCUUGAGCGAUACAGUGGAGGGGACUGAGGUUUUCGCAGCGCGUGCUCUCGGGCAAGGCUGAUUGGGUGCUAUGGGAUCGUUCGGUGUACAAUGCAUGCAUUUUGCGCCGUGUCUUUUCUAUACUCGCUCAAC